AUGAGAGGUUGGUGGACUGAUACAGUGAACAAUACAAGACCGCACUGGAAGGCUCUCACUUCGCUGAUGAUGUUGGUAUCUUGGGAGAUUUGGAAGGAACGGAAUGCGAGAGUUUUCCGCAACACUGCCGCACCCACCAUGUUAAUUGUCGGGAGGAUCAAGGAAGAGGCCCAUCUUUGGGCUCUAGUGGGUGCGAAAUACUUGAGUAAUGUAAUGUUGCGAGAGCAGUUGUUUUCUUCCCUGUGUUGCGGGCAUAAGUGUAAACCUUCUUUCUUAAUCAAUGAAAAUGGCAAAUCUUUUGCCUUGUUCGAAAAAAAAUGA
rnacentral:rRNA from 1 species